rnacentral:rRNA from 1 species
CAGAGCCACGGUAAUACGUAGGUGGCAAGCGUUGUCCGGAAUUAUUGGGCGUAAAGGGCUCGCAGGCGGUUUCUUAAGUCUGAUGUGAAAGCCCCCGGCUCAACCGGGGAGGGUCAUUGGAAACUGGGAAACUUGAGUGCAGAAGAGGAGAGUGGAAUUCCACGUGUAGCGGUGAAAUGCGUAGAGAUGUGGAGGAACACCAGUGGCGAAGGCGACUCUCUGGUCUGUAACUGACGCUGAGGAGCGAAAGCGUGGGGAGCGAACAGGAUUAGAUACCCCGGUAGUCCCUGUCUCUUAUACU